AUGAAAAGUGUAAGAACGCGUGAAGGGGAUGGUGAAAUUACUGACCUGAUAGCGGCGUCAAUGGCUCGUAGAGGAGAAGAAACCCCAAAAAACUUAGAUGAUGGAGGUAAUAUUAAGCUUCCUUUAUUUUUCUUGUUCUUGCCUCUACUUUGUGAUUCUUCUUUUUUCCAGUUUAUCGCUUCUGUUUACGGGAUUUUUCUGUUUCCUAGUGAAGGAGAUUUAUGUACGAUGAAGAACUGA